AGCGUCUGUCUACGGAACAGAAGG
rnacentral:tRNA from 1 species